GGCUUUAUGGCCGAGUGGUUAGUGUCGCCAGGCAGUAAUCGCUUCGUGUCAUGGGGUGUGGGUUCGAUUCCCGCUUCAGCCG
rfam:Aedes aegypti strain Liverpool supercont1.585 genomic scaffold, whole genome shotgun sequence.